ACACUCCUGCGGGAGGCAGCAGUGGGGAAUUUUGGACAAUGGGCGAAAGCCUGAUCCAGCCAUGCCGCGUGCAGGAUGAAGGCCUUCGGGUUGUAAACUGCUUUUGUACGGAACGAAACGGCCUUUUCUAAUAAAGAGGGCUAAUGACGGUACCGUAAGAAUAAGCACCGGCUAACUACGUGCCAGCAGCCGCGGUAAUACGUAGGGUGCAAGCGUUAAUCGGAAUUACUGGGCGUAAAGCGUGCGCAGGCGGUUAUGUAAGACAGUUGUGAAAUCCCCGGGCUCAACCUGCGAACUGCAUCUGUGACUGCAUAGCUAGAGUACGGUAGAGGGGGAUGGAAUUCCGCGUGUAGCAGUGAAAUGCGUAGAUAUGCGGAGGAACACCGAUGGCGAAGGCAAUCCCCUGGACCUGUACUGACGCUCAUGCACGAAAGCGUGGGGAGCAAACAGGAUUAGAAACCCCAGUAGUCCCAUGA
rnacentral:rRNA from 1 species